rnacentral:rRNA from 1 species
CCUACGGGCGGCAGCAGUGAGGAAUAUUGGUCAAUGGACGAGAGUCUGAACCAGCCAAGUAGCGUGAAGGAUGACUGCCCUAUGGGUUGUAAACUUCUUUUAUAUGGGAAUAAAAUGUUCCACGUGUGGGAUUUUGUAUGUACCAUAUGAAUAAGGAUCGGCUAACUCCGUGCCAGCAGCCGCGGUAAUACGGAGGCUCCGAGCGUUCUCCGGAUUUAUUGGGUUUAAAGGGAGCGUAGGUGGAUUGUUAAGUCAGUUGUGAAAGUUUGCGGCUCAACCGUAAAAUUGCAGUUGAAACUGGCAGUCUGGAGUACAGUAGAGGUGGGCGGAAUUCGUGGUGUAGCGGUGAAAUGCUUAGAUAUCACGAAGAACUCCGAUUGCGAAGGCAGCUCACUGGACUGCAACUGACACUGAGGCUCGAAAGUGUGGGUAUCAAACAGGAUUAGAUACCCGAGUAGUC